AUACUCUGGUUUCUCUUCAGAUCGUAUAAAUCUUUCACUUUUUACUAAAUAUUUCCAUGGAGAGGAACAUUUAUGAGUUUGUAACCAAUGUCUUAUUGUUGUUUUGAUUUAA